UACGUAGGGUGCGAGCGUUAAUCGGAAUUACUGGGCGUAAAGCGUGCGCAGGCGGUUUUGUAAGCCAGAUGUGAAAUCCCCGGGCUUAACCUGGGAAUGGCAUUUGGGACUGCAAGGCUAGAGUGUGUCAGAGGGGGGUAGAAUUCCACGUGUAGCAGUGAAAUGCGUAGAUAUGUGGAGGAAUACCGAUGGCGAAGGCAGCCCCCUGGGAUAACACUGACGCUCAUGCACGAAAGCGUGGGGAGCAAACAGG
rnacentral:rRNA from 1 species